GAUGAACGCUGGCGGCGUGCCUAAUACAUGCAAGUCGAGCGAACGGACGAGAAGCUUGCUUCUCUGAUGUUAGCGGCGGACGGGUGAGUAACACGUGGAUAACCUACCUAUAAGACUGGGAUAACUUCGGGAAACCGUAGCUAAUACCGGAUAAUAUUUUGAACCGCAUGGUUCAAAAGUGAAAGACGGUCUUGCUGUCACUUAUAGAUGGAUCCGCGCUGCAUUAGCUAGUUGGUAAGGUAACGGCUUACCAAGGCAACGAUGCAUAGCCGACCUGAGAGGGUGAUCGGCCACACUGGAACUGAAACACGGUCCAGACUCCUACGGAAGGCAGCAGUAGGGAAUCUUCCGCCAUGGGCGAAAGCCUGACGGAGCAGCGCCGCGUGAGUGAUGAAGGUCUUCGGAUCGUAAAACUCUGUUAUUAGGGAAGAACAUAUGUGUAAGUAACUGUGCACAUCUUGACGGUACCUAAUCAGAAGGCCACGACUAACUACGUG
rnacentral:rRNA from 1 species